ACGAAAAAGAGAUUCAAGCAAGAAAUCCUAAUUUUAGGGUUCUUCAGAAAGGAAAGAAACUAAGGAAAAGAAGAGGACAUUGCAGAGAAAUAGAGAAGGAAGGAAGAAAGAAAUAUAGAGUGAAAAAUAUGGAUUUCAAGAAAGAAAGAAAGGAAGGAUGGAGAAGAAGAGAAUUUCAAGAAAAAAGGAGAACGAGAAAGAAGAGGGGGGAAUGAAUGAAUGAAGGACAGAAGAACUAAAGGACUGAAGAAGAAACCUGGAAUUUAGGAUGAAAGACUCUGAUCUGAACUUGUUUGUGACAACAACAAUUUCAUUUGGAAGCAAAG
rnacentral:misc_RNA from 1 species